rnacentral:rRNA from 1 species
GAUGAACGCUGGCGGCGUGCCUAAUACAUGCAAGUCGAGCGAAGCGGGGACGGGUGAGUAACACGUGGAUAACCUCCUCUAAGACUGGGAUAACUUCGGGAAACCGUAGCUAAACCGGCUACUUAUCGAUGGAUCCGCGAUGCAUUAGCUAGUUGGUAGGGUAACGGCUUACCAAGGCAACGAUGCAUAGCCGACCUGAGAGGGUGAUCGGCCACACUGGAACUGAGACACGGUCCAGACUCCUACGGGAGGCAGCAGUAGGGAAUCUUCCGCAAUGGGCGAAAGCCUGACGGAGCAACGCCGCGUGAGUGAUGAAGGUCUUCGGAUCGUAAAACUCUUUUAUUAGGGAAGCGUUACCUGAUCAGAAAGCAACGGCUAACUACGUGCCAGCCGCCGCGGUAAUUC